UACGUAGGGGGCUAGCGUUAUCCGGAAUUACUGGGCGUAAAGGGUGCGUAGGUGGUUUCUUAAGUCAGAGGUGAAAGGCUACGGCUCAACCGUAGUAAGCCUUUGAAACUGGGAAACUUGAGUGCAGGAGAGGAAGAGUGGAAUUCCUAGUGUAGCGGUGAAAUGCGUAGAUAUUAGGAGGAACACCAGUUGCGAAGGCGGCUCUCUGGACUGUAACUGACACUGAGGCACGAAAAGCGUGGGGAGCAAACAGG
rnacentral:rRNA from 1 species